rnacentral:rRNA from 1 species
GGACGAACGCUGGCGGCGUGCCUAAUACAUGCAAGUAGAACGCUGAAGAGAGGAGCUUCCUCUUCUUGGAUGAGUUGCGAACGGGUGAGUAACGCGUAGGUAACCUGCCUUGUAGCGGGGGAUAACUAUUGGAAACGAUAGCUAAUACCGCAUAACAAUGGAUGACACAUGUCAUUUAUUUGAAAGGGGCAAUUGCUCCACUACAAGAUGGACCUGCGUUGUAUUAGCUAGUAGGUGAGGUAAUGGCUCACCUAGGCGACGAUACAUAGCCGACCUGAGAGGGUGAUCGGCCACACUGGGACUGAGACACGGCCCAGACUCCUACGGGAGGCAGCAGUAGGGAAUCUUCGGCAAUGGGGGCAACCCUGACCGAGCAACGCCGCGUGAGUGAAGAAGGUUUUCGGAUCGUAAAGCUCUGUUGUAAGUCAAGAACGGGUGUGAGAGUGGAAAGUUCACACUGUGACGGUAGCUUACCAGAAAGGGACGGCUAACUACGUG